rnacentral:lncRNA from 1 species
GCAAGACAUGUUGCUGCUGAUCUGGUUCUGGUUGCAGUCAUACCUUGUAGCCACCUGGAGGGUUCCACUCUCCUGCAUCAAGCCACUCUUUGCAUCCUCCCGUCCCCAGUGUUGCUGGCCGGACGUCAUACCUGGACAGCGACUGCUUUUCAGACGAUGAAACGUUCGGAGAGUCUCUGAAUCACGACCUCGGGGAGCACCAAGACUUUCUUGGGGUGAACUUGAGCAGCUUUGAACGCAGCUUCUGUGAUGGUGGCCACUUACUUGAAAGGUCAACACCUAAGCCGCUUCGGCAUAGGCAUGACCAGCGGUUGCACAGCACACCCACGGCCUUGUUCUCCCGGCGUUCGAGGUCCAACUCUACCCCUCCGCCAGUGCCGUUCAACCUGAGUAUGGACGAUGGAACAAUCGAGAACCCCUUCUCGGUGAGCAAU